rnacentral:rRNA from 1 species
AAUGAACGUUGGCGGCGUGGAUUAGGCAUGCGAGUCGUGCGAGAAUCGUAGCAAUACGAGGACAGCGGCGCAAGGGAGAGGAAUAAGUAGAAAUCUACCCUCGGGUCGGGGAUAGCGGCGGGAAACUGCCGGUAAUACCCGAUAACGUCUUUGGACCAAAGGUGUGAUUCCGUCUGAGGAUGAGUCUACUUCCUAUUAGCUAGUUGGCGGGGUAAUGGCCCACCAAGGCAACGAUGGGUAGCAGGUGUGAGAGCAUGACCUGCCUCAUUGGGACUGAGACACUGCCCAGACACCUACGGGUGGCUGCAGUCGAGAAUCUUCGGCAAUGGACGAAAGUCUGACCGGGCGACGCCGCGUGCGGGAUGAAGGCCUUCGGGUUGUAAACCGCUGUCGGAGGGGAACAAGUGUACGGGGGUUCUCCCCUGUAUUUGAGUGAACCUAGGAGGAAGGAGGGGCUAAGCUCGUGCCAGCAGCCGCCGUAA